UACGAAGGGGGCUAGCGUUGCUCGGAAUCACUGGGCGUAAAGCGCACGUAGGCGGCUUCUUAAGUCAGGGGUGAAAUCCUGGAGCUCAACUCCAGAACUGCCUUUGAUACUGAGGAGCUUGAGUCCGGGAGAGGUGAGUGGAACUCCGAGUGUAGAGGUGAAACUCGUAGAUAUUCGGAAGAACACCAGUGGCGAAGGCGGCUCACUGGCCCGGUACUGACGCUGAGGUGCGAAAGCGUGGGGAGCAAACAGG
rnacentral:rRNA from 1 species